rnacentral:tRNA from 1 species
GGGGAUUUAGCUUAGUAGCAUAAGCACCUGCCUGGCAAGCUCGAGGUUGCGAGUUCAAUCCCCA